rnacentral:tRNA from 1 species
AGUCUUAAGGUGUAAUGCACGUGCGAUUGCAAAUCGUGAGGAGCAGGUAAUACUGGCUGAGGCUU